UCCAUUCCUCUUAGUCUGUGUUGGGCAGAAACCAUUUUCCAAGCUCAGGAGGUGCUGGGAGCGAGGUGAAGGAUGACUUGGAGAACCAGCACAAACACCGAAAAAGAGUCAAGUAUAAAAACGUAUUUCCUGUGCAGAAGGGAAGAAGGAAGUCAAGGCACAUCAUGGCACUGCCCCAGGCUGAUCUGAAAUCUUUGGCCAGGUUCAUCUAAGGUGAAAAAUCCUGGGAAGCUGCCAUCACUCUGCUGAGCUAAUUCAACCCAAAGUCAUCAAACCAACAUGGCUUUAAAAGUUGAACCUGAGACCCUAUUUGCCAUUUUGCAGCAUUUCUUCAUUCCUGCCUGAGAACUGGAGUGCUGGCAACCGCAGCCAGCCACCAGCUGUUUCAGCUUGUUCCACGCUGUAGGAAGUCAAACUGAACAUGCAGCACCUUGUAAACCUUAUAAUAUAACCUGUCCAAUGGGGAAAAAAUGCAUAAAGAAAAAAGGCAAGAGAUCAUAGAGAAAAUCGGGUUUUUUAAACACACAUUAGAGAGGUUACCUGCAGCAAGAGAGGAUAUUGAGUUUAAAUAUCUAACAUUCAAAAUCUGAAUGUCUUAUUUUAAUAAAGAUCUCCAGGCUUGGAUGACUUUGGCUUGGGUCUAUCUCUCAGUUUGGUGUUAUCUGGAUUGAGCUAGUUGAAAGGAGCUUCUUCUGUGUCUCCAGACAAGUUCAUCCAGUUUCUAUCACUAGCCCAUCCCAUAACAACAAUAACUUUACACUUAGCUCAUGAAGACAUGCCAGAGAAUCUUCUGCACCUCGCUGCAGUCCAGGCAGGCUGGAAGGCAAAGCAGUGUCCUGGGAGUAGCUGUGCCUGAGCCCAUAACAACCGGUUUUUUUUUUGUCCUACUCAGUAUCGGAAUGUUCUUUCUGAUUUCAGUUGUGUGAAAGGACAACAGCUUGGAGCUCGUGCAUGUGCUAUCUGAGUGGCCCUGAUAAUGUCAGUGUCACAGUUACAGUCAUUAUCCUUGAUAACAGUAAUGUUCUCCUGCUGCCUCCUGAGUGGAUUCACUGUGAAAGAGGACAUAGCCCAUCUGCAGGUGCAAGGAGCAAUGCUUCCCAAGGCUACUUUAGCCUUUCCCACCUUAAGAAGCCUGUCCUUGACUCCAAUUGUUCUCCCCUCCUUGCUGUGGGUCUGCUCCUUGGGCAGCACAUCUACAAUCACUGCUCAGUUUUCUUCUUCAGUUCUAGCCUAGAUCUUCCCUGAUUUGGCUUCUGCUUCCUGUGCUCCACUGAAUCAGUGUACUUAGCUCAUGACUUCCAUAAAGUUCAGAAAUGGUGGUAAGACGAGUCUUUCAUUCUGAUUUUAAACUGUCACUUUAAAAACAUUUUAAACUGUUACUUGUAAAAAUCGGUAUUUUAGAGACAGGAGCUGCUGGGGGAAGGAGAAGGAAUAGUGCAUCCCUCUCAGCAGCUUCCUUACGAUGAAGGCAACAAGGAACAGACUGUUCUAUUGAUGCUGCAUUUCAGCCCAAGCUUCUGGAAAAGCCAGUUGUCUCUUAAGGGUCCCACAAAAGCCUCUAUUAAUUUAUUUCUAGCUAACGCUACUGCUCCCUCCUCUGAGCUGUCUCCUGCUUUCAAGAGAUUUGCUCAGGUUACUCUUCAUACUUUCAUUUGGCUUCCACAAUUCUGUUUCGGCUUCCACAUCUUUAAUCUUUCUUACAACGCCUUCAGGGGUCCUCAUUCUCUCCUCAGCAUUUUCUGCACAUUCAAGAAAUAGCUGCACUCAGUCACCUUUUCUUCCCUCUCUGUACUUUGCCUCCAAAGGAUCUCAGCACAAAUAUAAUUUCAGCAGCUUGCUCCAUGCUUAUGAUUCACCAGCCUUUCUACUUCGGAUCUGUCAUGUUCUUUCCAAGUGAAAAUUUUGACUUGUCUCUCUGGCAUUAAUUGCCACGCUACUGUCUGGUAUUUCCUAAGCUGAGCAAGUGCAGCACCCACAUUGAGGUAUUUUGAGUAAUCUUCUUUAAUGCCACUCCACUAAACACAUUUUCUAACAACUCUUUAGCUUCUGUGUCCUCUUAAUAUAGAAACCUGAUUUUGGCUUCCCACAUCCUUUACUCCCACCUUGUAUAACUUGUGUUCCCAUAGUUCUGAUACAUGUAGGAAAGAGGUGACAGGUUUGCAUGGGGUCACCAGUCACUGUAUCCUAAAACACAUGUGGAGGUCUCAGUAGAUUUGGUGAAUGAAAGUAGAUUAAGUCUGAAAACAUCCUUUGAGACUAACCCAGACCACCCUUUGCUCAUUUUUUUUGGUCUUAUCUCUGCAUUUGAGAAGGUGAAUAAUAAUCAAGCCUACCAGAGUUUUCUAAAGGCAACUGUAUCCAACUGUGAAGGUGUAAACACAAAAAAGAGGGGCUGAGCCCUUAGCACUGACCAACGGGGAAUAACUGGGAGUAAUGAGAUUAAACUGAACAAAGGAAAACCACUGAAGGUUGAACAUCAAGAAAAUAUCCUGGCGGUGUCUAUCAGACCAUGGACUAAUUUCCCACGGGAAGCGUUGGAAACUCCAUCUCUUGAGUCUUUAAAAUUAGACAAGAUAAAUCACUAAAAAACAGAGGGCUGGGGACAACCCAGCUGGAAUUGGAAAGGGAUGAGCUAGACUGUUUCAAAAGAUGGUUUUAGUCUCUGUUUCUCUUAUCCUGAAAUUAAAUAACAUGACUUGCAUAGAGUCUGCUCAGGCAGGACUGACAGGCCUGCAGCUGCACUGUGUUCUCCUCAUUAUGGUCAGGUUGAAAUGCUAAUGUGACUCUCGCUGAUCAUUUUUCUGUGUUGUGGUAAUGUUACAGCUCAGGCCUGCUAGGGUAACCGGAGGAGUCCCCCAUGGGCCCUCCUCCUCCCCGCAUCGCAGACCUGGUUGGGGAACAUCAGAGGAUUUUUCUGCCAAAAUGCUUCUUUGUUUUGGACUGAAUCCUCAUUAUUUCCUCGACCAUGUACCCUGUUGGGCUGAGCUCCCCUAGAUGGCAGAGCUGAAGCGAUUUGAAAUGCAAAAUGCUGUAUGCAGCCUUGCUGUAAUAGGGACUGCCAUAGACAGCUCUUGUUAGAAACAGCUUCUGUUGUUGCAUUUCACUCUUUGCCGCAUGUCAGAGAUUGUCCAACUCCUCUAACAGUUACUGCAGUUAGAAUCCGGACCCAAAAAGCCAUUGAUUCCCAUGAACGAUUCAAGUUUCCAGUUCUCAGAAAGAUCAAGCCAAGAAAAUGGUUCAUUUAUGGUUGUGUCUUUAGCAAACCCCCUUGGUCCAGCUGCAUGGACUUUUUGAGAAGAAAAAUCAGCUUUGAUACAGUUAUGCAAAUGCUUGCUAAAAGAAAUGAAUGUGAGAGGCAAAUUCAGAGAAGUUACAACUGACCUUCUUGUCCACUUGCACUUUUCAAGCCUUCUGUUACGUAAAACUAUGGGUUACCUCAUGAGCAGCGUUAGUCUGCACAGUUUCUCUUUCUGUCCUCACACAGAUGUUUUUCCAACUAAUUAAAUUCUACUGCAAUGCAUUUUUUUGUGUUGAAGUGCUGAAGAAAGCUGAACCCAAACCGAGUCACAUUUUGAGGAUUUCUUCUGAAAUUGCACACAU